UAAGGAAUCUUCCGCAAUGGACGAAAGUCUGACGGAGCAACGCCGCGUGCAGGAUGACGGCCUUCGGGUUGUAAACUGCUUCUAUUUGGGAAGAUUGUGACGGUACCAAAUGAAUAAGGACCGGCUAACUACGUGCCAGCAGCCGCGGUAAUACGUAGGGUCCAAGCGUUAUCCGGAAUCACUGGGCGUAAAGCGUGCGUAGGUGGUUUGUUAAGUGCAAUGCGAAAUCCUGGGGCUCAACCCCAUGGACUGUAUAGCAUAUUGGCAAACUGGAGGACAUGAGAGGCAAGUGGAAUUACUGGUGUAGUAGUGAAAUGCGUAGAUAUCAGUAGGAACACCAAUGGCGAAGGCAGCUUGCUGGCAUGUAUCUGACGCUAAGGCACGAAAGCGUGGGGAGCGAACAGG
rnacentral:rRNA from 1 species